GCAGACACAUUCCAGCCAAUCAACAGCAGACGCUCCCUCCCAGACCCUCCCACCUCCUGGACAGCUCACUAAGAAUGCAGCUUCAAAAUGGAUGCUGUCCAGGAGGUGGGAGGGUCUGGGAGGGAGGGUCUAAUGCUGAUUGGCUGGAAUGUGUCUG
rnacentral:miRNA from 1 species